CUAUACAUGCAGUCGAGCGACAGACAAGGAGCUUGCUCCUUUGACGUUAGCGGCGGACGGGUGAGUAACACGUGGGUAACCUACCUAUAAGACUGGGAUAACUUCGGGAAACCGGAGCUAAUACCGGAUAAUAUUUCGAACCGCAUGGUUCGAUAGUGAAAGAUGGUUUUGCUAUCACUUAUAGAUGGACCCGCGCCGUAUUAGCUAGUUGGUAAGGUAACGGCUUACCAAGGCGACGAUACGUAGCCGACCUGAGAGGGUGAUCGGCCACACUGGAACUGAGACACGGUCCAGACUCCUACGGGAGGCAGCAGUAGGGAAUCUUCCGCAAUGGGCGAAAGCCUGACGGAGCAACGCCGCGUGAGUGAUGAAGGUCUUCGGAUCGUAAAACUCUGUUAUUAGGGAAGAACAUACGUGUAAGUAACUAUGCACGUCUUGACGGUACCUAAUCAGAAAGCCACGGCUAACUACGUGCCAGCAGCCGCCGGUAAUAA
rnacentral:rRNA from 1 species